AUUGAACGCUGGCGGCAUGCCUUACACAUGCAAGUCGAACGGUAACGGGCCUUCGGGUGCCGACGAGUGGCGAACGGGUGAGUAAUGUAUCGGAACGUACCUUUCAGUGGGGGAUAAUGUAGCGAAAGUUACGCUAAUACCGCAUCUUCUGUUAGCUGGAAAGCAGGGGACCGCAAGACCUUGCGCUGAUUGAGCGGCCGAUAUCAGAAUAGCUAGUUGGUGAGGUAAAGGCUCACCAAGGCGACGAUCUGUAGCGGGUCUGAGAGGAUGAUCCGCCACACUGGAACUGAGACACGGUCCAGACUCCUACGGGAGGCAGCAGUGGGGAAUUUUGGACAAUGGGGGCAACCCUGAUCCAGCCAUGCCGCGUGAGUGAAGAAGGCCUUCGGGUUGUAAAGCUCUUUCGGCCGGGAAGAAAUCGUAUCAGCUAAUACCUGGUGCGGAUGACGGUACCGGCAUAAGAAGCACCGGCUAACUACGUGCCAGCCGCCGCUGUAACAC
rnacentral:rRNA from 1 species